AACUCUGUUAUCAGGGAAGAACAAAUGUGUAAGUAACUGUGCACAUCUUGACGGUACCUGAUCAGAAAGCCACGGCUAACUACGUGCCAGCAGCCGCGGUAAUACGUAGGUGGCAAGCGUUCUCCGGAAUUAUUGGGCGUAAAGCGCGCGUAGGCGGUUUUUUAAGUCUGAUGUGAAAGCCCACGGCUCAACCGUGGAGGGUCAUUGGAAACUGGAAAACUUGAGUGCAGAAGAGGAA
rnacentral:rRNA from 1 species